rnacentral:rRNA from 1 species
CCUACGGGUGACAGCAGUGGGGAAUAUUGGGCAAUGGGCGCAAGCCUGACCCAGCAACGCCGCGUGAAGGAAGAAGGCUUUCGGGUUGUAAACUUCUUUUCUCAGGGACGAAGCAAGUGACGGUACCUGAGGAAUAAGCAACGGCUAACUACGUGCCAGCAGCCGCGGUAAUACGUAGGUGGCAAGCGUUAUCCGGAUUUACUGGGUGUAAGGGGCGUGUAGGCGGGAAAGCAAGUCAGAUGUGAAAACCAUGGGCUCAACCUGUGGACUGCAUUUGAAACUGUUUUUCUUGAGUACUGGAGAGGCAGACGGAAUUCCUAGUGUAGCGGUGAAAUGCGUAGAUAUUAGGAGGAACACCAGUGGCGAAGGCGGUCUGCUGGACAGCAACUGACGCUGAGGCGCGAAAGCGUGGGGAGCAAACAGGAUUAGAUACCCUAGUAGUC